rnacentral:misc_RNA from 1 species
AUUCCUACAAUUGGAUUUAAUGUGGAGACUGUGGAAUACAAAAACAUCAGCUUCACCGUGUGGGAUGUUGGAGGUCAGGACAAGAUUCGACCGCUAUGGAGGCAUUACUUUCAGAACACCCAAGGCCUUAUCUUUGUAGUUGACAGUAAUGACCGCGACCGUGUUGUUGAAGCUAGGGAUGAGCUGCACAGGAUGCUUAAUGAGGAUGAGUUGAGAGAUGCAGUGCUGCUCGUGUUUGCUAACAAGCAAGAUCUUCCAAAUGCUAUGAAUGCUGCUGAGAUUAC